AUCGCUUCUAGGCCUUUUGGCUAAGAUCAAGUGUAGAAUACAACAAUCUGUUUAUAAAUUGAACAUUUUUUCAUAGAUGAUAUAUGUGCCACCAUAGCUACUUAAUUUCAAAUUUAAUAAUUUAAGGAAUUCAU
rnacentral:snRNA from 1 species